CCUACGGGUGGCUGCAGUGGGGAAUAUUGGACAAUGGGGGGAACCCUGAUCCAGCCAUGCCGCGUGUGUGAAGGAGGCCCUCGGGUUGUAAAGCACUUUCAGUGAGGAAGAACGCCUGGUGGUUAAUACCCAUCAGGAAAGACAUCACUCACAGAAGAAGCACCGGCUAACUCCGUGCCAGCAGCCGCGGUAAUACGGAGGGUGCGAGCGUUAAUCGGAAUUACUGGGCGUAAAGCGCGCGUAGGUGGCUUGAUAAGCCGGUUGUGAAAGCCCCGGGCUCAACCUGGGAACGGCAUCCGGAACUGUCAAGCUAGAGUGCAGGAGAGGAAGGUAGAAUUCCCGGUGUAGCGGUGAAAUGCGUAGAGAUCGGGAGGAAUACCAGUGGCGAAGGCGGCCUUCUGGACUGACACUGACACUGAGGUGCGAAAGCGUGGGUAGCAAACAGGAUUAGAUACCCCAGUAGUC
rnacentral:rRNA from 1 species